GAGUUUGAUCCUGGCUCAGAUUGAACGCUAGCGGGAUGCUUUACACAUGCAAGUCGAACGGCAGCACGAGAGAGCUUGCUCUCUUGGUGGCGAGUGGCGGACGGGUGAGUAAUAUAUCGGAACGUGCCUAGUAGCGGGGGAUAACUACUCGAAAGAGUGGCUAAUACCGCAUACGCCCUACGGGGGAAAGGGGGGGAUCGCAAGACCUCUCACUAUUAGAGCGGCCGAUAUCGGAUUAGCUAGUUGGUGGGGUAAAGGCUCACCAAGGCAACGAUCCGUAGCUGGUUUGAGAGGACGACCAGCCACACUGGGACUGAGACACGGCCCAGACUCCUACGGGAGGCAGCAGUGGGGAAUUUUGGACAAUGGGGGAAACCCUGAUCCAGCCAUCCCGCGUGUAUGAUGAAGGCCUUCGGGUUGUAAAGUACUUUUGGCAGAGAAGAAAAGGUACCUCCUAAUACGAGGUACUGCUGACGGUAUCUGCAGAAUAAGCACCGGCUAACUACGUGCCAGCAGCCGCGGUAAUAC
rnacentral:rRNA from 1 species